CCCCAAAAUCCUCAGCACAAGAGAAAGAGGUACAGAGAGAGAAUGGAGCAAGGCAGGUCCCAGAGCCCUGGUUGUGCUGCCUGGUGUGUUCCAGCAGUGUCAGCUGCCUUGGAGCAGCACCUCAGCUACUUCUCCUGCUCUCUGAAGACUUGUGUGAAAUGACCAAGAUACAAAGGGCCAGGGCUGCUCCUGGAAGAGGAAAAGCCUAUUGGUGUUGCCUGAAUGAAGGGGCUGAGUCUCUACAUUCAUAUCCUGGGAAAGCAGUUGAGAUUGAUCCUGGUUUGGUCACCCACUGAUGAGCUAAUUUUAACACCAACCAUGAACAUCUCACCGCUGGAAUUGCCGUGUGCCCGCUUGUGUGAGAGAGCAAAUCACUCCAGCAGUAGCGUAGAUCGUUCUUCUGCACCCAUUGUUAUGGAAAUCACCUUAGAGACUGUUGCUCCAGCAAACAUUUUUAGAAGCACCAGUGAGUUGCGCAACAGGAAAAGUGCUCGGAGGUGAGGAAAGCCCCCCUGGAGGCUCUCAGCGCUGCCCCUUCCCCCAGCGGCUCUCCUGGUGGGGACGGGGUUUGGGGUGUUCCUUUGCCUGGUAAGGCAGGCAGAGCGUGCUUGUGGAGGAGAAGCCCCUGGUGCGUCAGUCUCCAAGGAAACCCUGGGUGCUGCGUGGCUCAGCCUUCCUUGCACGCCUGGGCACUGCCUCACACAUCCCAGGCUUGUGCCUGAAUCACACAUCCACACUGUGAUCUGCCAGCGGCGUUUUAUGGGUGCAAAUUUUAGGCAAAUGGUGGGGUUUUCCUACCCCUAGAUGCCACUUCAUCUCAGAGAGCCUCGUGGUUGGCUUUGGUGUGCAGCACCAGUGAAACCAGCCCUAUCUCUGUUUCGGGUGCACAUUCCUCUCCGUUGAGUCUGGAAGGAGAAGCCUUGUAAUGCUCCCACACCUCCCAGCUUCUCUAGAGCAAGCCUGGGAGCCUGCUGGUUACAGGGAGGCUGGGGCAGCAGGUGCUUCCAGGGGUGCUGCCACCAGCCUGGCUGCAGUGCCUGAGCCAGGGCAGGCCACCCCUCUGCCCCCUGCCUGGUGACAGCAGGAAGGAUAGAGGAGAGCCAGUCACUGCCCCAAAAGCUUCCAAACCCCCACAGGUUAGGGCAGCCCACCCACAGGGCAGUUCCACUGCUCAUCCCCCAUUUGUGCUCAAACACCUAGCCCUGAAUUUUAAUUAAAAGAAAUCAUCUCUUCUUGUCUUGAUUAACUACAAAUAAUUGUUUCUCUUGAGUUUACUUCUCAUGCUCCUCAUCACUGCCUGCUCUGGAGCAGGACCAGCUCUCCAGCCUGUGCCCAGGAGCCUCCUGCAGCCUCAGCUGAUGGAAGGGGAAAAGCACAGAUCCAGUGACCUUUGUUUGCCUCACUGCUGCUCACAGUCCCUGCCUGACAUUUGAGGAGUGCUCUUAAAAAAACCUACCAUUUCUGGCACACUGGCCCUGCUGCUGAAGAGCUGUUCCUCUUCCACCUCCUUCACCUACUGGGAUUAAAAGCUACAGAGUCUGCCUUCUUACGCAGAGCCAGUGACUCAUUCCUGGGAUGUCUUUGCUGAAUUUGCCUGGUCACCUCCUUCCCUGAGCGCUGCUUCUUGCUUGUCACAUGGUGAGUGAAGGAGCACAGGCACAGUGUGUGCUGGGAUGGCACCAGUUGCUGGCAGGAUCCCCCUCUCCUCGUGCCCUGGGUGCCCCUAGGCUGGUGCCCCCUCUGUUCUGGGCAGAAGGGAAGGGAUGUGUGUCUCCAAUUCCAUCCUUUUCUCCAAGAUCCACCACCUGUGCUAUGGAAUGCUGUGAGCUCUCCCUGCUCCCCUGGCUUUGCACGUUCCAGGCUGCCAUUCACAAGGACCUCAGUGUGCAAAGAGGAGCUUUGUGAAGUCCAGCAAAGGGAGUAGGAGCUCCUGCCCCCAAGGAGGAAUGGCCCCACUCACCUGUGCAAUGACCCAGUACAAACUGGGGACCAGCUGGCUGGAAAACAGCUGUGCAGGUAGAGACCUGGGAGGGCCUGGUGGAUAAUGAGCUGACCAUGAGCCGGUGGUGCCUUCUCACAAUCAGCAACAUCAUGAGCUGGAUUAAGAAGAUCAUUGCCAGCAGGCCAAGGGAGAAGGAGGAAGGAGGUUUUGAUUCAUCCUUUUGGAUCAAGCAGUGCUGCCAGAAACUGGAUUGGCACAUUGUGAGUGCUUCAGGUACUUCUUGCCAACUCUGAGGUCCAGCAGAGUCCUGCAUGAAGGAUCUUAAACCCCAGUUCCAGGCUUGGAA